UCCGUUUUCAGUUCGGUUUUCGUUUCAAUGGGAUUUAUUAAACGCCAAACAAAACACGACAGAAGCUGUAUUUCGCUACGAUACUUGAUUAGGAACAUCAACGAACACCACUAACCACUCGCUCAACACCAACCUUUGCAGUGUUUUGGCUAUUCAAAGAAGUGUGACAGCUGCCUAUCAUCCCCAAACCAAUGGGAAUCCAGAGGACUUCUGUGGGGUGUGCUCCUUUGCCGAAGAAAAUGCAGAUGGGAGCAUGAUUGAAAAGGUGCAUUGUGGAUUGUGCAGUAGGCGGGCACAUUUUGAGUGUGCCCAAUAUGCCCAUGAAAAUAAGGCUGUAUAUAUUUGCAAGAAAUGCCUUAAAAUAAAAUAAAGAUUUGAGAUCUUUU